rnacentral:rRNA from 1 species
CAGUCGCCGCGGGAAUACGUAGGUGGCAAGCGUUGUCCGGAAUUAUUGGGCGUAAAGCGCGCGCAGGUGGUUUAAUAAGUCUGAUGUGAAAGCCCACGGCUCAACCGUGGAGGGUCAUUGGAGACUGUUAAACUUGAGUGCAGGAGAGAAAAGUGGAAUUCCUAGUGUAGCGGUGAAAUGCGUAGAGAUUAGGAGGAACACCAGUGGCGAAGGCGGCUUUUUGGCCUGUAACUGACACUGAGGCGCGAAAGCGUGGGGAGCAAACAGGAUUAGAUACCCCGGUAGUCCCUGUCUCUUAUAC